rnacentral:rRNA from 1 species
AACGAACGCUGGCGGCAUGCCUAACACAUGCAAGUCGAACGAAGCCUUCGGGCUUAGUGGCGCACGGGUGCGUAACGCGUGGGAAUCUGCCCUUUGGUUCGGGAUAACAGUUGGAAACGACUGCUAUACCGGAUGAUGACGAAAGUCCAAAGAUUUAUCGCCAGAGGAUGAGCCCGCGUAGGAUUAGCUAGUUGGUGUGGUAAAGGCGCACCAAGGCGACGAUCCUUAGCUGGUCUGAGAGGAUGAUCAGCCACACUGGGACUGAGACGCGGCCCAGACUCCUACGGGAGGCAGCAGUGGGGAAUAUUGGACAAUGGGCGAAAGCCUGAUCCAGCAAUGCCGCGUGAGUGAUGAAGGCCCUAGGGUUGUAAAGCUCUUUUACCCGGGAUGAUAAUGACAGUACCGGGAGAAUAAGCCCCGGCUAACUCCGUGCCAGCCGCCGCAGUAA